rnacentral:rRNA from 1 species
UACGUAGGGGGCAAGCGUUGUCCGGAUUUAUUGGGCGUAAAGGGCUCGUAGGCGGUUUGUCGCGUCGGGAGUGAAAACCUCGGGCUUAACUCGGGGCUUGCUUUCGAUACGGGCAGACUGGAGGUAUGCAGGGGAGAACGGAAUUCCUGGUGUAGCGGUGAAAUGCGCAGAUAUCAGGAGGAACACCGAUGGCGAAGGCAGCACUCUGGGACGUGACUGACGCUGAGGAGCGAAAGCGUGGGGAGCGAACAGG